rnacentral:rRNA from 1 species
ACAGCUCAAAUUUGAAAUCUGGCUCUUUUAGAGUCCGAGUUGUAAUUUGCAGAGGGCGCUUUGGCUUUGGCAGCGGUCCAAGUUCCUUGGAACAGGACGUCACAGAGGGUGAGAAUCCCGUACGUGGUCGCUGGCUAUUGCCGUGUAAAGCCCCUUCGACGAGUCGAGUUGUUUGGGAAUGCAGCUCUAAAUGGGAGGUACAUUUCUUCUAAAGCUAAAUAUUGGCCAGAGACCGAUA